rnacentral:tRNA from 1 species
GGGCGUGUAGCUCAGUGGGAGAGCACCGCGUUCGCAACGCGGGGGCCGGGGGUUCGAAUCCCCUCUCGUCCACCA